UUUUUUUGUAUUUUAUUUUUUGUCGAGUCUUCGGAGGAAGAAGAGGAGGAGGAGGAGGAGAAGAAAAAAGAAUUUUUACGAGCGCUAAAAACAAAGUCGAGAAAUAACUAUGAAUGUUAAAAGUCAAACAUCGAAUAAAGAAGAAAAUGGGAAAAAAUGUUACAUUUUACAACGUGUUUUUCUAACGAGUGAAUUUUUAUAUACAAGAUCUAUUUAAAGACUUUACGACUCGUGUACCGUGAUAGUUACAGUAAUAUAAGACGGAUUUUUUUAUUUUUUACUUUUUUUUUUUUGCAUUAAUUUACGAUUGCAUCUGAUGGUUGAAGGAUUACACCGUCUGCUCGCUCUCUUUCUCCAAUGCGAUUUUUUAUCGAUCGGCAGCAAAACUCGCGAGUUAUUGAAGAUGCUAAUAAGUAUAAAACCACUUGGAAAAUUAAAGCUACUAAUGAUGUAGUGGAUGAAAAGCGUCCCUUUUGGUUUACAUGGAAUCGUUGAAGAAAGAAAUUACAGCAAAUGUUAGUAUUUCUUGUUGUCUGUCCCACUUCCAGUUGUCAUUACUAACUCUGCUGAGGAUAUCGAUCAGCGAGUGGCCGACCUGUUGUUGGUCAGUAAUGUUUGUUUGGUCACUUCCUUUCCCCUCGUAUUGUUUUAACGUACAAGAAGUCUUUAUGUUCAUGUUUGGAAGCAUUCAAUUACUGACUUUGCUCGGUAGUUUUGUUCUUUCUCAUUAAUCAUUGCUUAUGUCCGGGUGGAGAUGAAAGACCAAAAUCUAAUUCCUCUAAUAUAUUUUAGAGCGGAUCUAUUGCAGUUGAUAGCGUUUUUAGAGAUAAUUACAGCCCUAUUUUAGAGGUCACGUACGAUUAAUGGAUAAACCAAAUUUGAUAAUUGAGAAAGAGUUUUAAGCUUACCAUAUUAUUAUAAAGCUAUAAGGACGAUUAAUAAAUUUUACAUCAAUUUGUUGGUGGUGCGUUUAACCUUCAAUGAAUUAUCGCUCC
rnacentral:lncRNA from 1 species